GUGAGACGGAGUGAGACAGGGACAAGAGGGUGAGACGGAGUGAGACAGGGACAAGAAGGUGAGACAGGGACAAGAAGGUGAGACGGAGUGAGCCGGGGACAAGAAGGUGAGACAGGGACAAGAAGGUGAGACGGAGUGAGACGGGGACAAGAAGGUGAGACGAGUGAGACAGGGACAAGAAGGUGAGACGGAGUGAGACGGGGACAAGAAGGUGAGACGAGUGAGACAGGGACAAGAAGGUGAGACGGAGUGAGACAGGGACAAGAAGGUGAGACGGAGUGAGACAGGGACAAGAAGGUGAGACGGAGUGAGACAAUAAGGUGAGACAGGGACAAGAAGGUGAGACGGAGUGAGACGGAGUGAGACAGGGACAAGAAGGUGAGACGGAGUGAGACAGGGACAAGAGGGUGAGACGGAGUGAGACAGGGACAAGAAGGUGAGACAGGGACAAGAAGGUGAGACGGAGUGAGACAGGGACAAGAGGGUGAGACGGAGUGAGACAGGGACAAGAAGGUGAGACGGAGUGAGACAGGGACAAGAGGGUGAGACAGGGACAAGAAGGUGAGACGGAGUGAGACAGGGACAAGAAGGUGAGACAGGGACAAGAAGGUGAGACGGAGUGAGACGGGGACAAGAAGGUGAGACGAGUGAGACAGGGACAAGAAGGUGAGACUGAGUGAGACAGGGACAAGAAGGUGAGACGGAGUGAGACAGGGACAAGAAGGUGAGACAGGGAGUCAUCUUAGCCUAAUUUUAGCCCUAUUUUAGCCUAUUUUACUAUACUACUGUUUGCACCAUGGAAUCAGUGUUGUCUGAUUGUGGGGAUGAUGACUGUGUGUGUGUGUGUGCGUGUGCGUGUGUGUGUG